rnacentral:rRNA from 1 species
UGUAAGCGUAUACCAAAGUUGUUGCAGUUAAAACGCUCGUAGUCGGAAUUUGGCAGUUCCGGAAGUGUGCACGUCGUGUGCGCACUUUGCGGGGACUGCUUUUGUGGUCUUGCGUAGGAUGAGGCACUUUCAUUAGUGAACGUCCUCACGCAACCACUCUUUACUGUGAGAAAAUCAGAGUGCUCAAAGCAGGCAUUUGCCGUGAAUGUAUUAGCAUGGAAUAAUUGAAUAGGACUCGGUUCUAUUUUGUUGGUUUGUUGGGACUGAGUAAUGAUUAAGAGGGACAGUUGGGGGCAUUUGUAUUCCGGCGCUAGAGGUGAAAUUCUUAGAUUGCCGGAAGACAAACUGCUGCGAAAGCGUCUGCCAAGGAUGUUUUCAUUGA